AGUCGAGCGAACAGACGAGGAGCUUGCUCCUCUGACGUUAGCGGCGGACGGGUGAGUAACACGUGGAUAACCUACCUAUAAGACUGGGAUAACUUCGGGAAACCGGAGCUAAUACCGGAUAAUAUAUUGAACCGCAUGGUUCAAUAGUGAAAGACGGUUUUGCUGUCACUUAUAGAUGGAUCCGCGCCGCAUUAGCUAGUUGGUAAGGUAACGGCUUACCAAGGCGACGAUGCGUAGCCGACCUGAGAGGGUGAUCGGCCACACUGGAACUGAGACACGGUCCAGACUCCUACGGGAGGCAGCAGUAGGGAAUCUUCCGCAAUGGGCGAAAGCCUGACGGAGCAACGCCGCGUGAGUGAUGAAGGUCUUCGGAUCGUAAAACUCUGUUAUUAGGGAAGAACAAAUGUGUAAGUAACUAUGCACGUCUUGACGGUACCUAACCAGAAAGCCACGGCUAACUACGUGCCAGCAGCCGCGGUAAUACGUAGGUGGCAAGCGUUAUCCGGAAUUAUUGGGCGUAAAGCGCGCGCAGGCGGUUUUUUAAGUCUGAUGUGAAAGCCCACGGCUCAACCGUGGAGGGUCAUUGGAAACUGGAAAACUUGAGUGCAGAAGAGGAAAGUGGAAUUCCAUGUGUAGCGGUGAAAUGCGCAGAGAUAUGGAGGAACACCAGUGGCGAAGGCGACUUUCUGGUCU
rnacentral:rRNA from 1 species